UACGUAGGGUGCAAGCGUUAAUCGGAAUUACUGGGCGUAAAGCGUGCGCAGGCGGCUCUGCAAGACAGAUGUGAAAUCCCCGGGCUCAACCUGGGAACUGCAUUUGUGACUGCAGGGCUAGAGUACGGUAGAGGGGGAUGGAAUUCCGCGUGUAGCAGUGAAGUGCGUAGAUAUGCGGAGGAACACCGAUGGCGAAGGCGAUCCCCUGGGCCUGGACUGACGCUGAUGCGCGAAAGCGUGGGGAGCAAACAGG
rnacentral:rRNA from 1 species